UUCAUCUCCUCGUCUCACAAAAGACGCAGUCAAAAAACCAUUCCGAAAGCUCUCCUCCCACUCCGAUGAGCUGUGCUGCGAUUGCUAGGAAACUAACGCGUACAACACAGCUGUUGAAUUUUCAACGUCAGUAUCUUUCACGUGCAGUGUCGAGAUCGUUUUCUAGCUCAUCUUUCCACAUUGUUUCCUUCUCCUCAGCAUUUCAUCGAACAGGUCUUGCGCAUUCUCAAAUCUUAAGCCAUGUCCCUUAUUUUGUCUACUACAAUCGCUUCUCCACCAAAACCAUCUUCGAAGAAUUUGAUAUCAACAACGAAGUGGCUCCUUUGGAGAAGGGUCUGAUUGAUUUAGUCAGGCAGGUCUCUGAGCUAGAGUCGGAGUCGGAGUCGGAUGCCAUGGUUUCUCUGGAAGAGUCAACCUUUGAUCUAAAUAAUGGUUCUUUGUACUCUUUAAUCUGGGAAUUAAGAGAUGAAUGGAGGCUUGCCUUUCUAGCGUUUAAAUGGGGAGAGAGACGAGGCUGCGAUGAUCAGAAAGCUUGUGACUUGAUGAUCUGGGUGUUGGGUAAUCAUCAAAAGUUCAACAUAGCGUGGUGUUUGAUCCGUGACAUGUUUCAUGUCUCAAGGGAUACCAGAAAGGCCAUGUUUCUCAUGAUGGACAGGUAUGCUGCUGCUAAUGAUACAAGCCAAGCUAUUCGGACAUUCGAUAUCAUGGAUAAGUUUAAGCACGUUCCUGAUGAUGAAGCAUUUCAAGGAUUGUUACACGCCUUGUGUAGACAUGGGCACAUUGAAAAAGCUGAAGAAUUCAUGCUCGCAAGCAAAAAGCUCUUUCCUUUGGACGUUGAAGGAUUUAACGUGAUUCUUAAUGGUUGGUGUAACGUUUGGACUGAUGUGACUGAAGCCAAGAGGAUUUGGCGAGAGAUGGGGAACUACUGUAUCACGCCUAACGAGGACUCUUACAGUCACAUGAUCUCUUGCUUUUCCAAAGUUGGCAACCUUUUUGAUUCUCUUAGGCUCUACGAUGAGAUGAGGAAACGAGGGUUUACUCCCGGGGUUGAAGUUUAUAACUCUUUGGUUUAUGUGUUGACUUGCGAGAAUUGCUUUGGUGAAGCUGUGAAGCUUGUGGAGAAGAUGAAGGAGGAAACUUUAAAGCCAGAUUCAGUCACUUACAAUGCGAUGAUACGGCCUCUUUGUGAGCAGGGAAAAGUUGAAGAAGCGAGGGAUGUAUUGGCGACUAUGAUAAGUGAGAAGCUAAGUCCAACAGUUGAUACGUUUCAUGCAUUCCUUGAAUGUGUGAAUUUCGAUCAAACUUUAGAGGUUUUAGGACAAAUGAAGGUUUCUUGUUUAGGUCCUAAAGAAGACACCUUUCUCCUCGUUCUUGGAAGAUUAUUCAAGAAGAAGCAACCGGAGAAUGCUUUGAAGAUCUGGGCAGAGAUGGGUCGUUUUGAGGUCGCUGCUAAUGGUGCUCUUUGCUUGGCCACAGUACAAGGGCUUUUGGCAUGUGGGUGGCUGCAGAAGGCCAGAGAGACGUAUUUAGAUAUGGAAGCAAAAGGAUUCCCUGGUAGUCCUAAGCUCCAGAAACUUCUUAAGGAACAGAAGGUGAAGGGGGUUAGAAAAAGCAAGAGGAAAGAUCUUCAAAAAGUUGGUUCUCGAGGAGGCUAUAGAGGUCAACGAUCAGUAGUAUACAAAAAUGUAUCUGAUAGGGGUAAGACUUGAGAUCAAACGAUCACUCAAGUAAAGUUGAUUCUCAGACCUCGUGGUCUCAAGUCCUCAGAAUGUGACGCAUGCAAUGUGUUCUAGCUCGUCUGUUCCAUUUGGUUUGGCUAAACAUUUGCAACCAUGCUGAUUCAGGACCGGAUUACAUGAGGAUGUUAUUAACAAUUCUUAUUCUUGACUGUUCUUGGCACACACGUCCACACAUCCUCCAAGUUCGAGUAGAGUAAAUUUAAGUUCAACGUGUUGUGAUAUGAACCAGACAACUCAAGAGGCAGAUGCUGAGCUCACUUUGUUUCAAAAGCAAGAUUUUUAGGACUCUCCUUGUCCAGCUUGUCUUUUUCUGUGUUCUUUUGUCCUUAGUUUUGUUCAUAACUCAUCUGUCUCAUUUAGUUACUCAUGAACCGUGAUGAUUGAUAUUGCCUUGGAUUCUUUUUGAGUGUUGCAAUUGUUAUGCCACAUUUCAAGCUACCAUCAAAGAAAAAGUUAU